rnacentral:rRNA from 1 species
UACGGAAGGCAGCAGUGGGGAAUAUUGGACAAUGGGCGAAAGCCUGAUCCAGCCAUGCCGCAUGAGUGAAGAAGGCCUUCGGGUUGUAAAGCUCUUUUAGUGAGAAAGAUAAUGACGGUACUCACAGAAGAAGUCCUGGCUAACUCCGUGCCAGCAGCCGCGGUAAUACGGAGAGGGCUAGCGUUAUUCGGAAUUAUUGGGCGUAAAGAGCGCGUAGGCUGAUUAGUAAGUUAAAAGUGAAAUCCCAAAGCUUAACUUUGGAAUUGCUUUUUAAAACUGCUAGUCUAGAGAUUGAAAGAGGAUAGAGGAAUUCCUAGUGUAGAGGUGAAAUUCGUAAAUAUUAGGAGGAAACACCAAGUGGCGAAGGCGUCUAUCUGGUUCAAAUCUGACGCUGAGGGCGCGAAAGGGCGUGGGGAGGCAAACAGGGAUUAGAUACC